GACGGAAGGUGCAAGCGUUGCUCGGAAUCACUGGGCGUAAAGGGUGCGUAGGCGGCCGCGCAAGUCUGGCGUGAAAGCCCCGGGCUCAGCCCGGGAAGGGCGCUCGAAACGGCGCGGCUCGAGUGCCGGAGGGGAGAGUGGAAUUCCUAGUGUAGCGGUGAAAUGCGUAGAGAUUAGGAAGAACACCAGUGGCGAAGGCGACUCUCUGGACUGUAACUGACGCUGAGGCUCGAAAGCGUGGGGAGCAAACAGG
rnacentral:rRNA from 1 species